rnacentral:rRNA from 1 species
UAGGGAAUCUUCCGCAAUGGACGCAAGUCUGACGGAGCAACGCCGCGUGCGUGAAGAAGGAUUUCGGUUCGUAAAACUCUGUUGUUAGAGAAGAACAGCGCAUAGAGUAACUGUUAUGCGUGUGACGGUAUCUAACCAGAAAGCCACGGCUAACUACGUGCCAGCAGCCGCGGUAUUACGUAGGUGGCAAGCGUUGUCCGGAUUUAUUGGGCGUAAAGCGAGCGCAGGCGGUCAAUUAAGUCUGAUGUGAAAGCCCCCGGCUCAACCGGGGAGGGUCAUUGGAAACUGGUUGACUUGAGUGCAGAAGAGGAGAGUGGAAUUCCAUGUGUAGCGGUGAAAUGCGUAGAUAUAUGGAGGAACACCAGUGGCGAAGGCGACUCUCUGGUCUGUAACUGACGCUGAGGCUCGAAAGCGUGGGUAGCAAACAGG